ACGUCGUGAGACAGUUCGGUCCCUAUCUGCCGUGGGCGCUGGAGAACUGAGGGGGGCUGCUCCUAGUACGAGAGGACCGGAGUGGACGCAUCACUGGUGUUCGGGUUGUCAUGCCAAUGGCACUGCCCGGUAGCUAAAUGCGGAAGAGAUAAGUGCUGAAAGCAUCUAAGCACGAAACUUGCCCCGAGAUGAGUUCUCCCUGACCCUUUAAGGGUCCUGAAGGAACGUUGAAGACGACGACGUUGAUAGGCCGGGUGUGUAAGCGCAGCGAUGCGUUGAGCUAACCGGUACUAAUGAACCGUGAGGCUUAACCUUACAACGCCGAAG
rnacentral:rRNA from 1 species